rnacentral:lncRNA from 15 species
UCAUUUAUUUUCUUUUGUUUCAUCUUCCAUGUUGUACCUCUGCGUUGGUCCAGGUAUAUGUAAGGUUGACCAGCAGGUAACAGCUGUUGUGGUAUGGCUGCCAGCCUUGAGGACAAUGUGAAGAUGCUCUCUCUGAAGAAAAGGAUUCAAGUGAACAUUAAACAUUUAUUUAGACACUCAGGUAAAUCUCCUCUGUGUGAACCUCAUGUCAGUAAAGAGCAGCAUGCUAACUGUUAGCUUCCCAUUUACCCAAAAAACUUACAGGAAUAGUUUGAUUCUGUGGUUUGGUAGGUAGGUACACCUAUUAAUUAUCUUAUCAUGAGUUAGAUGAGAAGAUUGAUACCACUCUCAUGUCUGUUCAUCAAGUAUAAAACCCAUAGUUCCCAUAGUGUCAAACUAUUCUUUUUCUGACUUUAGCUUUCACUUCCUGUAGGAUAUUUUCAUAUGUAUAUACAAGAUAUGUAUGUAAACUGCUUUCUUUUACAGCCUGAAUAACUAGUGAAAAACUUUUACUUUUGAUUUAAAAAAUAACAGAAUUGUCAUUUUUAGAUAAAAAAAAUUUUUUUUAAGAUUUUGUCAUACAGACGUCAGCAGUAUCGAGUGACAUGUAAUUUACCUUGCAUGAAAGGAGGAGGAGGAAUUCCAUUUUCUGGUCAGUGCAGGGAGAGAAUACACAUUGUUUCAUUUAUUAUUAUUUCCAGGAUAUUUGGUCAUGUAAUGGGGGUCAUCCCUAUGUUCCCCGGGUCCUAUGUUCCCCCGCUAAGGUUAGGGUUAGGGUUAGGGUUAGGAUUCCCCGGUCCCAUACAAAGCGGGGAACAUAGAACCCGGGGAACAUAGGUACGCUCCCAUUUAAUGUGUUUCCAGGACGUUUGGGAACCCCACCUGAUUAAAACGGGGACAAUAUAACUGCGGAUGUAAUAAUAAAAAGCUGUUUUCAUUCUCAUCUGGACUUUAAGGCGGAAAUUGAUGUUUAUUAUAAACCUGUUUACAGUUGAUCUCAUUGAGAGUAAGAGACGUUAUUUUAAUAAAAGCUGAUAUAUUUAGGAGUACGGGCACACGUUACUCUCUGUCCCUUCAACCCUGUAGCGCCACCUUCAGGACAAACAGCACGUUGUUUGUUGUGUCCAACACUUUCAAACUGUGGCUGUAAUGAACACUGCAGCCUCCGGGAGACGCUGGAGAGAGCGUUGUUGUAACUUUGAGGACACGUUACUGUUUACACACACACACACACACACACACACACACACACAGCUCUGGGCUCCUGCUGCUCUACAUGAAAACAAAUAAAUCUGUGUGUUUACUGGCUUUUUAGGAAUCAGUGUUUGUCGUCCACCUGCAGCGACGUCUUCUGCAGCCAACGUUUGUUUUUCUGUGUUGUUUUGAGUUUUUUUUGGGGGGGGGGGGUUUGGAGGCUAAUUAUAUUUGCUGGGUGGCAAAUGAGUCACCAACAUCAACAACGGCGUAAAAAAGACAAAGUGGCGAAAACAACAUCAUAAACAACAACGGCAGCAGCGGGGAGAGAGGAGACGCUGCUGGCUUCUGUUUCUAGACAGACGGAGUGUCUGCCCUUUAGCUGCACACACACACACACACACACACACACACACACCAGGCUUAAUGCAUUUUGGGGAAAUGUGAUCUGACUAAUAUGCGGCGCUGCAGAAACAAACAAUGCUCAAAAAUGUGUCAUUUUAUCAGCAGUUGUUUUAUCUGUCUGUCUAUCUAUCUAUGUAUCUGUCUGUCUGUCUGUCUUUGAUAACUCUUGACUGUGGGAGUGAAAAUUAAGGACUGAUUCACUGAUUCAGUUUGAAUGAAUUACAUUUUUUAACUCAAAAUUAGAAUUGAAAUGUUUCUGUGUUUCUUUCAUUAAAAAACUCGACUCCUGAAUGUUUCCUCCUAAUGGAUCUUGCAGAUGUUGUGAUGUUGCCGUGCAGAUGUUUCAUUUUCCACCUGAUCGGAGUCACAUCGCUGCUGUCGCUCUUUACAAUUUGUUUUGGGGGGUAAAAAUUCAAAUGAAGAGUUGAGACGGACACAGGAGCUGUUUCAGAGGGCGGUUACACACACACACACACACACACACACACACACACACACACACACACACACACACACAUUAGUUACAAACUGAUCAUUACUGUUCAAUAACAACAAC